GUAAGAAUCACCUGGGGAUCCUUGUUAAACUGAAGAUUCUGAUUCAGAGGUGUGGAGCGGGACCCACGGUUCUACUUAAUCUAACAAGCUCCCCAGCGAUGCUGAU
rnacentral:pre_miRNA from 1 species